rnacentral:rRNA from 1 species
UACAGGGGGUGCGAGCGUUAAUCGGAAUUACUGGGCGUAAAGCGCGCGUAGGCGGCUUCGCAAGUCGGGUGUGAAAUCCCCAGGCUUAACCUGGGAACUGCAUUCGAGACUGCAUUGCUAGAGUAUGGGAGAGGGAAGUGGAAUUUCCGGUGUAGCGGUGAAAUGCGUAGAUAUCGGAAGGAACAUCAGUGGCGAAAGCGACUUCCUGGACCAAUACUGACGCUCAUGUGCGAAAGCGUGGGGAGCAAACAGG